rnacentral:rRNA from 1 species
NNNNNNNNNNNNNNNNCCCUAGUAACUGCGAGUGAAGCGGGAUAAGCUCAAAUUUAAAAUCUGGCGUCUCCGGCGUCCGAGUUGUAAUUUAGAGAAGCGUUUYCCGCGCCGGACCGUGUACAAGUCUCCUGGAACGGAGCGUCAUAGAGGGUGAGAAUCCCGUCUUUGACACGGACCCCCGGUGCUCUGUGAUACGCUCUCGAAGAGUCGAGUUGUUUGGGAAUGCAGCUCAAAAUGGGUGGUGAACUCCAUCUAAAGCUAAAUAUUGGCGAGAGACCGAUAGCGAACAAGUACCGUGAGGGAAAGAUGAAAAGCACUUUGGAAAGAGAGUGAAACAGUACGUGAAAUUGUUGAAAGGGAAACGCUUGAAGUCAGUCGCGUCCGCCGGGAUUCAGCCUUCGGGUGUACUUUCCGGUGGACGGGCCAGCAUCACUUUCAAUCAUCGGACAAGGUCGAGAGGAAUGUGGCACCUUCGGGUGUGUUAUAGCCUCUUGUCGUAUACGGUGACUGGGAGUGAGGACCGCCUUUGUAGGAUGCUGGCGUAAUGGCUUUAAACGACCCGUCUUGAAACACGGACCAAGGAGUCUAACAUGCCCGCGAGUGUUUGGGUGGAAAACCCAUGCGCGUAAUGAAAGUGAAAGUUGGGAAGGCUGUCGCGGCCUGCACCGACGCCCGGACUCGAGAUUUAUCUAAGGUUUUGCGGUAGAGCGUGUAUGUUGGGACCCGAAAGAUGGUGAACUAUGCCUGAAUAGGGUGAAGCCAGAGGAAACUCUGGUGGAGGCUCGUAGCGAUUCUGACGUGCAAAUCGAUCGUCAAAUUUGGGUAUAGGGGCGAAAGACUAAUCGNNNNNNNNNNNNNNNNNNNNNNNNN